UACGUAGGGUGCGAGCGUUGUCCGGAAUUAUUGGGCGUAAAGAGCUUGUAGGCGGUCUGUCGCGUCUGCUGUGAAAAUCCGGGGCUUAACCCCGAGCCUGCAGUGGAUACGGGCAGACUAGAGGUAGGUAGGGGAGAAUGGAAUUCCCGGUGUAGCGGUGAAAUGCGCAGAUAUCGGGAGGAACACCGGUGGCGAAGGCGGUUCUCUGGGCCUUACCUGACGCUGAGGAGCGAAAGCGUGGGGAGCAAACAGG
rnacentral:rRNA from 1 species